rnacentral:misc_RNA from 1 species
AUAAUCGACGUUUUAAAUAAAUGGUUAAUAAAAUACAGGAACUCGUAUACAGGAACUGCGAACGCAAGAACAGAUGACGAUAAUUCGAAUGCGCCACUCAAUGUUAAAGGGUGGGAAACGGAAGGAAGAAUAUUUACGUAUAGAGACGUAGCACUGGUACGACCAGUUUGUUUGACCUCUUGGAUCUAAGCCAAAUAGGAAUUGGCUAUUAACCAAAUCAAUGGUACCUAAAUUACCAGCGCACCACGCGACCCGUUGUACGUAGAGGUAGGUGCUUGGCCCUUGUUACGUGUCGUGUAUUUGAUUAUCUACGUCGUGGUUUAUUACGGGCUAAUAUCGCGACAGCCGCGCAUCUGCCGCUAUCGCUAUGAUAACCAUCAUCAUAGCGCAUAGUUCCGCUUCGUCGUAAAUUUAGAGAAUCUAAUAAAUCGCAUCUUGUUGAUUGUCAAUCAUCUGUCACCCCAUAUAA